rnacentral:rRNA from 1 species
CAGUCGCCGCGGGAAUACGGAGGGAGCUAGCGUUAUUCGGAAUUACUGGGCGUAAAGCGCACGUAGGCGGCUUUGUAAGUUAGAGGUGAAAGCCUGGAGCUCAACUCCAGAAUUGCCUUUAAGACUGCAUCGCUUGAAUCCAGGAGAGGUGAGUGGAAUUCCGAGUGUAGAGGUGAAAUUCGUAGAUAUUCGGAAGAACACCAGUGGCGAAGGCGGCUCACUGGACUGGUAUUGACGCUGAGGUGCGAAAGCGUGGGGAGCAAACAGGAUUAGAUACCCCAGUAGUCCCUGUCUCUUAUAC